GGACUACCGGGGUUUCUAAUCCCGUUCGCUCCCCAUGCUUUCGUGGCUGAGCGUCAGGUACGAGCCAGGGGGCCGCCUUCGCCUCUGGGGUUCCUCCGGAUCUCUACGCAUUUCACCACUACACCCGGAAUUCCACCCCCCUCUCUCGUCCUCUAGAAAUGCAGUCUGGCAUAACCCCUCCAGGUUAAGCCCGGAGAUUUCAUACACCACUUGCAUUCCCGCCUGCACACCCUUUACGCCCAGUAAAUCCGGAUAACGCUUGCCACCUACGUUUUACCGCGGCUGCUGGCAC
rnacentral:rRNA from 1 species